rnacentral:misc_RNA from 1 species
AACCUUAUGGACCUGCGGGCGUAUACCUGCGGAAGGAUCAUUAUUGAGUGAAUGGUUUCUUUGAAACCUGAUCUCCCCACCCUUGUUUUUUGUUUUAUCCAAUUGCUUUGGUGGGCCAGCUACUAUGUGGCUGCGGUGGGUGCUUGGUGAUCAACCGAGCCCUGGCGCUUGUGUCCACCAGAGGUCUUUAAUGCCUGUGGUUAACGAUUGGCUGAGUGGAAGAAGUUAGAAUAAAUGAAA